rnacentral:lncRNA from 1 species
CACGUUCUCUUUAAUCAAAUUUUGCAUCGUGCCUACAUUUUUACAAACGUAUGCAUUCGAUAUUUUUUAUUAUUUCUUUUUUUGAAUGAAAUUUUUUUUAUUAUUUCUUUCUUUGAUGAUGAUAAAGAAUCUCAAAAAAUAAUAAUUUUACGUUACUUAAUUUCUAAGAUCAUCUCCAUUAAUUUGACAAAUUGUGAAGAGUGUCUUAUUUUCUUAACAUAUAUUUUUUUAGAAAAUAAUUAAUAUUGUAAAAUUUUUUUUUUGAGGAUGUG